rnacentral:rRNA from 1 species
UACAGGGGGGGCAAGCGUUGUUCGGAAUUACUGGGCGUAAAGAGUUCGUAGGCGGUUUGUCGCGUCGUUCGUGAAAACUUGGGGCUUAACUCCAAGCGUGCGGGCGAUACGGGCAGACUUGAGUACUACAGGGGAGACUGGAAUUCCUGGUGUAGCGGUGAAAUGCGCAGAUAUCAGGAGGAACACCGGUGGCGAAGGCGGGU